UACCCUUAGGGGGGAAAGCCUGGUUAGCGAACCGGGUUAGAUCCCCUGGUUUUCCCCCCCGUUAAACGUUGGGCCGUAGGGUGGGGGGCUCCUUUCCCGGAUUUCCGGCCGCCAGCCAAACCCCUUAAACCGCCCCCCCCGGGGGAGUACGCCCCCAGGGUUAAAAUUUAAAAGGAAAUGAACGGGCCCCGCCCAAGCGGCGGAGCAUGGGGAUUAAUUUCGAUGCAACGCGAAGAACCUUACCAAGGCUUGACAUACAGGGAAAUUUUGGCAGAGAUGUGAGGUCCGCAAGGGUCCUGUACAGGUGGUGCAUGGUUGUGUCAGCUUGUGUCGUGAGAUGUUGGGUUAAGUCCCGCAACGAGCGCAACCCUCGUCCUAUGUUGCCAGCGGGUCGUGCCGGGGACUCAUAGGAGACUGCCGGGGUCAACUCGGAGGAAGGUGGGGAUGACGUCAAAUCAUCAUGCCCCUUAUGUCUUGGGCUUCACGCAUGCUACAAUGGCCAGUACAAAGGGCUGCGAGACCGCGAGGUGGAGCGAAUCCCAAAAAGCUGGUCUCAGUUCGGAUGGGGUGUGCAACUCGACCCCAGAAGUCGGAGUCGUAUAAUCCAAUCAGCAACGCUGCGGAAUCGUU
rnacentral:rRNA from 1 species